GCUUUAAUUUCUUUUUCUGCUUUCAUGUAAGAUCUUCUAUUUUGCCGAUGCUCAUGAGGCCUCAUCGUUUAAAGGUAUAUCUGUUGUACCAAAAGCAAGGAUUCUAAACAUCUUUUUUUUUUUGCCCCUCCAUUCAGGUGUAUCGAUGCGGUGCAAAUAUGACAGAAGGCGGACUUGUAGUUUGGUAACAAUUGAAUUUUGAUGCUUGUUUUUAGUAUGUCAAAUUAUUGAUACUCUAGUUGACUGAACGUAUAUUUGCAGUCUGUUAUUGUGGAAGUGAAACUUAAUUUGCCCAUUAGAAUUAUUUUGUUUUUUUUAUGGGCAUAUUUGGAAAAAUGGCUAUAUAUCAGCUUGUCGCUGCUGAGUGCAUGGAUUGUUUGGGGAGUCAGAUUUGUAGGGUGAGCUUGUGCCCAAACCUUCUUGUAACUUGGGUUCUGUUUGGUAAAGUUUUUGGCAAUAGAUCUUUUGAAAGUAAAGCUUUUUAAAAAAAUAUUUGUUGUUUAG
rnacentral:lncRNA from 1 species